GUUAGCCGAUGCUUAUUCCUCAGGUAACGUCAUUGAUUUCCUCCCUGAGAAAAGAGGUUUACAACCCAUAGGCCGUCAUCCCUCACGCGGUAUUGCUCCGUCAGGCUUUCGCCCAUUGCGGAAAAAUUCCCCA
rnacentral:rRNA from 1 species